rnacentral:rRNA from 1 species
GGACCUGACUGCUAUCGGAUUGAUACUAAGCCAUGCGAGUCAUUGUAGCAAUACAAGGCAUACGGCUCAGUAACGCGUAGUCAACCUAACCUAUGGACGGGAAUAACCUCGGGAAACUGAGAAUAAUGCCCGAUAGAACAUUAUGCCUGGAAUGGUUUAUGUUCCAAAUGAUUUAUCGCCGUAGGAUGGGACUGCGGCCUAUCAGUUUGUUGGUGAGGUAAUGGCCCACCAAGACUAUUACAGGUACGGGCUCUGAGAGGAGUAGCCCGGAGAUGGGUACUGAGACACGGACCCAGGCCCUAUGGGGCGCAGCAGGCGAGAAAACUUUGCAAUGUGCGAAAGCACGACAAGGUUAAUCCGAGUGGCUUCUGCUAAAGAAACCUUUUGUCAGUCCUAGAAACACUGAUGAAUAAGGGGUGGGCAAGUUCUGGUGU